rnacentral:rRNA from 1 species
CGCCCGCCGCGCGCGGCGGGCGGGGCGGGGGCACGGGGGGCGUACGGGAGGCAGCAGUGGGGAAUUUUGGACAAUGGGCGCAAGCCUGAUCCAGCCAUUCCGCGUGAGUGAAGAAGGCCUUCGGGUUGUAAAGCUCUUUCAACAGGAAAGAAACGAUUAUGGCUAAUACCCAUGAUUAAUGACGGUACCUGUAGAAGAAGCACCGGCUAACUACGUGCCAGCAGCCGCGGUAAUACGUAGGGUGCGAGCGUUAAUCGGAAUUACUGGGCGUAAAGCGUGCGCAGGCGGUUUAUCAAGUCUGAUGUGAAAGCCCCGGGCUUAACCUGGGAACUGCGUUGGAAACUGAUAAACUAGAGUGCGGCAGAGGGGGGUACAAUUCCACGUGUAGCAGUGAAAUGCGUAGAUAUGUGGAGGAAUACCGAUGGCGAAGGCAGCCCCCUGGGUCGACACUGACGCUCAUGCACGAAAGCGUGGGUAGCAAACAGGAUUAGAUACCCUGGUAGUCCACGCCCUAAACGAUGUCAACUAGUUGUUGGGGAGGGAGACCUCCUUAGUAACGCAGCUAACGCGUGAAGUUGACCGCCUGGGGAGUACGGUCGCAAGAUUAAAACUCGAAGGAAUUGACGGGG